AUUGAACGCUGGCGGCAGGCCUAACACAUGCAAGUCGAGCGAGUGGCGGACGGGUGAGUAAUGUAUGGGGAUCUGCCCGAUAGAGGGGGAUAACUACUGGAAACGGUAGCUAAUACCGCAUACCAUCGGAUGUACCCAUAUGGGAUUAGCUAGUAGUUGGGGUAAAGGCUCACCUAGGCGACGAUCUCUAGCUGGUCUGAGAGGAUGAUCAGCCACACUGGGACUGAGACACGGUCCAGAUUCCGAAGGGAGGCAGCAGUGGGGAAUAUUGCACAAUGGGCGCAAGCCUGAUGCAGCCAUGCCGCGUGUAUGAAGAAGGCCUUAGGGUUGUAAAGUACUUUCAGCGAGGAGGCGUUACCCGCAGAAGAAGCACCGGCUAACUCCGUGCCAGCAGCCGCGGUAAUUC
rnacentral:rRNA from 1 species